UCAGGAGAAAUCUAUAAGGAUACAAAGGAAGCAGGAUAGAGCAGAGGAAGAAGCUGAGCAAAAUGUGCUUUGCUGAAAUCUAAUCUCAGCCUGAUCCCAUUGGAAGCUGUAGCAUUUGAAUGUCAGCACAGAGUUUUCUCCCCUUCAGGAAAGGAGAUUUGAGAGAAAUUAAAUAUUUGACUUCGCUGGUGGCUCAGAUGGUAAAGCAUCUGCCUACAAAGUGGGAGACCCAGGUUUGAUCCCUGGGUCGGGAAGAUCCUCUGGAGAAGGAAAUGGCAACCCAUUCUAGUACUCCUGCCUGGAAAAAUCCCAUGGAUGGAGGAGCUUGGUAGGCUGCAGUCCAUGGGGUCGCAAAGAGUCGGACAAGACUGAGCAACUAAACUUUCUUCUCUUUCAAAUAUUUGACUAAAUACUUAAACUCAUUAUUUCUUUCCUAAAGUGUUUAUAAACAUAAAUUUUGUGGCUAGUAAUGUGAUAUUUAAGAGGAAUAGAAGAUGAAUAAAACAUGACUGCUGAAAACAGGAGACACAUAUGUAAAUUUCAUUGAAGAUAUAUUAGACUUAUUAUGUGCAAAGUGCUGUGGGAAUCUAGGAAUAAUGCUGCCUUGGAAAAAUAACUAAAACCUUCAAAUUUGAGCAUGUUCUGGAUGGAUAAAUAGAGGACUUCAAAAUAGAGAAAGUAUGCAAGGUCAUUUAAGACCAAUUCAUGAAAAGAACAUAGCUGAAGAUGAACAAUUCAUGUUGAAGAACGUGGACAGAUUGUGAAAAAAUUCCCUGUGGCCAAAUUCUAGGAUAUGUGAUGUCAUGUUGAAAGAAAUUCAUUUGGAAAGUGUUGACAAGGACACGAGAAGGAUGUGGCCUGAGGAAAUCAAAUGAGCAGCAUAAAAUCCUGGCUGGAAUCGCAGGCAGCCCACAGUUUGUGGUUUUUGAAAGUCUGUCAAAAAAGUUGCGUAAUAUGAAAGUGGAGACAGGACUUCUGAACAAAAAUCAAUAGCUGGAUCUUUUGAACUGCCCAUGUACAAAGUUCUAAUGAAAAUGUCCUUGAGGGGAGUUUUAAUAGUGGACUUUGAGAUCAGCUUCACCACUGGUCUGAUAACAGUACAGAGCAUUUGAAGUUUUCAAAGAAUUCAAGCCCUGAAAAGUUUGGCUCAAACACUGAGGAUGUAAAUGCCUCUGAGGGGUCUGAGAAAUAGCAACCCACCGCUGAAGAAUAUACGAUGUAUGUGUUUCCUGAACCAUGUCAAAUUUUAGCCACAGGAUACAAUUUACUUCAAGGGGGCUGAUAGCUCUCUAAAAAGCAGCACUCCACGUUCAAACUAAUAAUUGAUCAGGUACCAAAGUAAUAAUUGAUCAGGGGUGACUAAAAAUAAAUCACCUGGGAGAGCUGAUUAGAUGAUAAAUUUUCUAAAUACAUUUUACUUAAUCUUCUGAUCAGAUGAGUGCUUGUAUCGUAUUCACUGAUAGUGUUUUUCUCUUUUUCUUUUUUUGCUUUCAUUUUAAAAAAAAUAUAUUUGUUUAUCUCAAUUCAAGCUAGAAAAUUAUUCAUGACUCUAAAAAUCACCAUGGUAGCACCGAUGUACAAAUCAGAGGUUAACAUUUUAGGUCACUUACUGCCAAACCUUUUGUUUUCUCAUCUCUGAAUCUUAAACACAGAAAUAUCCAUUAGUUGUAGAUAAAAAUUUCUUACUCAGUAGAUUGGGAAAAAGCAAACAAAUAAGCAAAAUAACAUGUACUAGCAUUUACAAGAUCUGCUCUCCAAAAUUGGAAGUGUUUCAGUUCUCAAUUGAGCUGCUUUUGGAAAAUUUAUACUUAAGCUAUGCUUGAAAAUAUCAACCUACUCACUCAUCAAAGGCAAGCAAAAAUGUUUUUUUGUGGAGUGAGUGAUAAAGAAAGUAUUUUUCCUGCUGUUCCCCACUCCGUCAAAUCUCCCUACUCCAUCAGGGUAAUGUCUUAAAAAUAAAAUUAUCAACUAAUAUUUACAGGACUAUAAAACUGAACUAUUUUUUAAUGUUAGGUAGAUGUGCUACAGUUAUUUUGCUGUUAUAACCUAGAUAGAAAUGUUACUUUUUGUUGCUAUUUGUUAUUUGCUCAAAAUCACUAUGGCUAAACUAUAUUGCUGUUGUUGUUGCUUAUUAUUUUUUUUCUAUUAAUUACCUUCAAAUGAAUUAUUUGAGGCAAGUAGAUUAUUUUAAACACAGAGUUAAUUUGUUCCACACUGGAACUUGAACCCACACUGACUCCUGUCUGACCUCAAGCUCUCAGGGAACUCUUCAGCCAAGCUGCCUCUGGAGAAUCCAUGAUUACCUGUUCAGACUCCAACAAAAACAGCUCAAAUUGCAUCACCAAAUGGUUCUGUGUUCAAAUUUGGCAGCUAGGAGUGAUGUUUUGAGUCUCAGGGUUGGUUACUGUCUUAGAUGGGGCUCCUGAGAAGUGGCGUCUAAGGUAAGGGGGCUCCUGUAGGUGAUCUACCCAGGAAGCACUCUGAGAACAAAACCAUCAUCCACAGACGGAUAAGGAAAAGAGAGGAGCAGAAAAAAAGAAGCAUGGAAUGAAGCCAAGUAAAAAUAUGGAAAUUAUGAAAAUCUCAUCUCAGACUCCAUCCCAGAGGGAGCUCUGGAGCACGAGGAAUACCAUAGUUUUUCCACCUUGACAGGAAGGGGCUGGGCAUUAACAGUCAUAUUGACUAUUGGGCCCAUGGUUGGGGGUGAGGGGAGUAGAGAGGGGAGUAUAUUUGCAGAUAUCUCUGCAUGUAGUGACUCCCGUUGGGCAAGGGUAAUUCUCCAGAGAAAAGUGUUUCUAUGAGCCGUUCAGUAAUAAUCGCAGUAGCUGGGGACAAGUUGUCCUGUCCAGCAAACAGGAUGUGGGAAGGGCUUGGCAGCACAUUCCAUAGGGAGCAAGAGAAGAUAGGAGUCUGGUUGAAAGAUGACAUCUCCAGCGUACUUGGUUUUCCAGUGUGACUACCAGAAACCUGGAGGAUGAAACUGGCUUCUUCUUCAAGUCCAAUACUAAUGUUCUCUUUCAUUAAAUGUUUCUUAACUUUUUUAGAUCUCAAGAAUCUCAUUAGUAAAAAAUGUGUUGUGGACCA